rnacentral:lncRNA from 1 species
UAUUCUGUUUCUAGUCUUGAGCUAGUUAAUUAUUUUUGAACUUGGCUUCGAAAUAUUUUUAAUCUUGAUCUUUAUCUUGUUUGUUCUUUAAGUGUUUGAUAGCCGUUAUUAGGUGAGAUAGAUAAUUAUUCUCACCAUAUAUCUCUGUUUGAUAGGCUAUAUUGAUAAUCUUUCAAGCCCGCAAAAUUGAUGAAGCCCGCACCAAAAGCACUGUAGCCUUGAGAAAAUACAUCCGCCCCAACCCCCCUGAUCGGUUUUCUCACUUGGAACAGUGAUUGAGAUUAGUUUUGUGUUUCCAAUUUUCUCCCUGAAAUUACUUCAAAAUCGGUACACAGCAAAGAGGAGUUCUUCAGUCGAAUCUCCCUGAAAUUAAUUGUUUGCUUUCGAUACAAAUCUAUUACUCAAUUUGGUGCUUGAGUGUCGCAUGAGGGANA